GACGUAGGGCGCGAGCGUUGUCCGGAUUUAUUGGGCGUAAAGAGCUCGUAGGCGGAUUGUCGCGUCGACCGUGAAAACCCGCGGCUUAACUGCGGGCUUGCGGUUGAUACGGGCGGGCUGGAGUUCGGUAGGGGAGACUGGAAUUCCUGGUGUAGCGGUGAAAUGCGCAGAUAUCAGGAGGAACACCGGUGGCGAAGGCGGGUCACUGGACAGUUCCUGACGCUGAGGAACGAAAGCGAGGGGAGCAAACGGG
rnacentral:rRNA from 1 species